rnacentral:rRNA from 1 species
AUGUCAAAUCAUCAUGCCCCUUACGUCUAGGGCUACAGGCGUGCUACAAUGGCCAGUACAAAGAGAAGCAAUACCGUAAGGUGGAGCAAAUCUCCAAAACUGGUCUCAGUUCGGAUUGGAGUCUGCAACUCGACUCCAUGAAGUUGGAAUCGCUAGUAAUCCUGAAUCAGAAUGUCAGGGUGAAUACGUUCCCGGGUGUU